UAUACAGAUAGAUAAUAAAAUUGAGAAUGGAAAUGGGGAAUGUGCCAAAGAGACAACAACCCGACCAUAGAAAAAGACAACAGCAGAAGGUCACCAACAGGUCUUCAAUGUAGCGAGAAAUUCCCGCAGCCGGAGGCGUCCUUCAGCUGGCCCCUAAACAAAUAUAUACUAGUUCAGUGAUAAUGAACGCCAUACUAAUUUCCAAAUUGUACACAAGAAACUAAAAUUAAAAUAAUACAAGACUAACAAAGGCCAGAGGCUCCUGACUUGGGACAAGCGCAAAAA
rnacentral:lncRNA from 1 species